rfam:Thermoplasmatales archaeon DG-70-1 WOR1_52_54_776, whole genome shotgun sequence.
GGGCCCGUAGUCUAGACGGUUAUGACGUCGCCUUGACAAGGCGGAGGUCUCGAGUUCGAAUCUCGACGGGCCCA